UUUAAUGUUUAUUUAUUUUUGAGACAGAGAGAGACAGAGCAUGAACGGGGGAGGGUCAGAGAGGGAGACACAGAAUCUGAAACAGGCUCCCGGCUCUGAGCUGUCAGCACAGAGCCCAAUGUGGGGCUCGAAGUCACAAACCGUGAGAUCAUGACCUGAACCAAAGUUGGACGCUUAACCAACUGAGCUACCCAGGCGCCCCAGAAAGAGGUGUAUAAAGUAUGAAUAGUCCAUCUGUUGUCAUUUGUUCGAGAUUUUGGUUUUUCUUAAAAGGUAGUUUAGUGCAGUUGUCAAGAUGGCAGUUAUGGGGUGAAAUUUGGGUUGAAUCUGGACUCUGUCAUUUACCAGCAAUAUGACCUUGACAGUGACUUAAAAAAAAAAACAACAAA